rnacentral:rRNA from 1 species
GACGAACGCUGGCGGCGUGCCUAAUACAUGCAAGUCGAACGCAGUGGGGACGGGGUAGUAACACGUGGGUAACCUCCCAUCAGAGGGGAUAACACUUGCAAACAGGUGCUAAACCGAUACUGAUGGAUGAACCCGCGGUGCAUUAGCGAGUUGGUAAGGUAACGGCUCACCAAGGCAACGAUGCAUAGCCGACCUGAGAGGGUGAUCGGCCACACUGGGACUGAGACACGGCCCAGACUCCGACGGGAGGCAGCAGUAGGGAAUCUUCGGCAAUGGGCGAAAGUCUGACCGAGCAACGCCGCGUGAGUGAAGAAGGUUUUCGGAUCGUAAAACUCUGUUGUUAGAGAAGCGGUAUCUAACCAGAAAGCCACGGCUAACUACGUGCCAGCAGCCGCGGUAAUAC